rnacentral:rRNA from 1 species
AGAUUGAACGCUGGCGGCAGGCCAACACAUGCAAGUCGAGCGGCAGCACGGGUACUUGUACCUGGUGGCGAGCGGCGGACGGGUGAGUAAUGCCUAGGAAUCUGCCUGGUAGUGGGGGGAUAACGCUCGGAAACGGACGCUAAUACCGCAUACGUCCUACGGGAGAAAGCAGGGGACCUUCGGGCCUUGCGCUAUCAGAUGAGCCUAGGUCGGAUUAGCUAGUGGUGAGGUAAUGGCUCACCAAGGCGACGAUCCGGUAACUGGUCUGGAGAGGAUGAUCAGUCACACUGGAACUGACGACACGGUCCAGACUCCGUACGGGAGGCAGCAGGUGGGAAUAUUGGAACAAGUGGGACAAAGCCUGAUCCAGCCAGUCGCCGCGUGUGUCGAAGUAAGGUC